ACACCCCACGCUCUUCCAGUACAGUCCACAUGCCGGAUGCCUUCAAAAGCAAACUGUAGAGGCUGAUGGAGCCAUACCUGCAGAGACACUGAUGUCUCAUGAAAGUGAGAUUACACACGACACUGAUGACAACAACGAUGAUGAUGGUCAAACUACCGAAGAAGGUUCCUGUUCAUCUCGCACUCAGUCUGCUGCGGGCAGACAUGCACAGCAGCCCAGCGCCCACCUGCAACAGGACUGCAUUCAGAGAGAGACGACAGUGGUGCACAUCUCUGAGAUGGAGAAAGAGACGACCAUGAAAACCCUUGUAGACAUCAAGCGGAAGGUUGAGAGCAAGUAUCAGCAGGA